rnacentral:rRNA from 1 species
GUAAGCUAGAGCGCUCAGUCUUCACCGUCAUCCGGUAAGACNACAGUUUCANGCGGGCAGUUUGACUGGGGCAGUCACCUCCCAAAAGGUAAUGGAGGUGUGCAAAGGUUCCCUUAGGCUGGACGGAAAUCAGCCAUAGAGCGUAAAAGCAUAAGGGAGCUUGACUGCGAGACUGACAUGUCAAGCAGAGACGAAAGUCGGCUUUAGUGAUCCGACGGUGCUGUGUGGAAAGGCCGUCGCUCAACGGAUAAAAGUUACUCUAGGGAUAACA